rnacentral:rRNA from 1 species
UACAGAGGUCUCAAGCGUUGUCCGGAAUUAUUGGGCGUAAAGAGCUCGUAGGCGGUCUGUCGCGUCGGAUGUGAAAACCCAGGGCUCAACCCUGGGCCUGCAUUCGAUACGGGCAGACUAGAGUUCGGUAGGGGAGACUGGAAUUCCUGGUGUAGCGGUGAAAUGCGCAGAUAUCAGGAGGAACACCGGUGGCGAAGGCGGGUCUCUGGGCCGAAACUGACGCUGAGGAGCGAAAGCGUGGGGAGCAAACAGG